rnacentral:antisense_RNA from 1 species
AGAUCAGCCCUGGGGUUCAGAGGGAUCCUGACGGCUACUCCUCAAGAUCCUCUCUGUUGUGAUUCAUCCCCCCCAGGCCCUACAGUUUCUCCUUCCUGACUCUUACAUUUCUUUGGAUGGCAUCACUAUUUACCUGUCUCCUCCCAUAGUUAGUUGCCAAGCACUGUGGAUUCUACCCCUCAGGGUCCAGACACCCAUUUUCCUUCCCACUGUUCCCUCCCCAUGGAGAAGCCUGUGGCUGACUGACAGCUCAACUUGGAGAAGGUGUUACCUGGGCCAGGUGGGGAAGGUAGGGUUGUUUGCAGAGCAAAGAAGUGAAGCAGAACCAACCCCUCCUCUUCUUCCUCCCCCUCAGCCUAUUCAAUGUGAAAAAGAUGAGGGCGAAGACCUUUAUGAUGAUCCAAGUAAUGAACACACUGGAGAAAGUCAAACAGUCAAAACAAUGUCCCAGACUCCGUGAAGUUCCUGGGUAGAGAAGUAGACAGACGUACACCAUACCUAAUAAUUGGAGGUCCAAGAGAAUGAGAGAAUGGCAGAAAGAACUUUAGAGCAUGGGUAUGAUGGCUAGAGCUUGAGCAGCCAUUGUGGACAUCAGAUGAACCUGAAAGUGAAAACUAUGAGCUGAAUAUGACAAAGCAAAUAGAAAACUGGAUUCAUGAUGACACUGCAAAGCUGCCAGACCAGCUCUAGUCUGCUUCUCCCUAAUCUUCCUUACUAAGAGAGAGAAAUAAACUUCCAUCUUCUUCAAGGCA